AUUGAACGCUGGCGGCAUGCUUUACACAUGCAAGUCGAACGGCAGCGCGGGCUUCGGCCUGGCGGCGAGUGGCGAACGGGUGAGUAAUGCAUCGGAACGUGCCCAGUAGUGGGGGAUAGCCCGGCGAAAGCCGGAUUAAUACCGCAUACGACCUGAGGGUGAAAGCGGGGGACCGAAAGGCCUCGCGCUAUUGGAGCGGCCGAUGUCGGAUUAGCUAGUUGGUGGGGUAAAGGCUUACCAAGGCGACGAUCCGUAGCUGGUCUGAGAGGACGACCAGCCACACUGGGACUGAGACACGGCCCAGACUCCUACGGGAGGCAGCAGUGGGGAAUUUUGGGCAAUGGGGGCAACCCUGAUCCAGCCAUGCCGCGUGCGGGAAGAAGGCCUUCGGGUUGUAAACCGCUUUUGGUCGGGAAGAAAUCCUCUGGGCUAAUACCCCGGGGGGAUGACGGUACCGGAAGAAUAAGCACCGGCUAACUACGUG
rnacentral:rRNA from 1 species